UUAGUGGCAGACGGGUGAGUAACAUGUAGGUAUCUACCCUUUGGUGAGGAAUAACACGAGGAAACUUGUGCUAAUACCUCAUAAGUCUUUACGGAGAAAGCUUUAUGCGCCGAAGGAUGAGCCUGCACUUGAUUAGUUUGUUGGUGGGGUAAUGGCCUACCAAGACUUUGAUCUAUAGCUGAUCUGAGAGGAUGAUCAGCCACAUUGGGACUGAGACACGGCCCAAACUCCUACGGGAGGCAGCAGUAGGGAAUAUUGCACAAUGGAGGAAACUCUGAUGCAGCGAUGCCGCGUGAGUGAAGAAGGCCUUUGGGUUGUAAAGCUCUUUCGUCGGGGAAGAAAAUGACUGUACCCGAAUAAGAAGGUCCGGCUAACUUCGUGCCAGCAGCCGCGGUAAUACGAAGGGACCUAGCGUAGUUCGGAAUUACUGGGCUUAAAGAGUUCGUAGGUGGUUAAAAAAGUUGGUGGUGAAAUCCCAGAGCUUAACUCUGGAACUGCCAUCAAAACUUUUUAGCUAGAGUAUGAUAGAGGAAAGCAGAAUUUCUAGUGUAGAGGUGAAAUUCGUAGAUAUUAGAAAGAAUACCAAUUGCGAAGGCAGCUUUCUGGAUCAUUACUGACGCUGAGGAACGAAAGCAUGGGUAGCGAAGAGGAUUAGAUACCCUCGUAGUCCAUGCCGUAAACGAUGUGUGUUAGACGUUGGAAAUUUAUUUUCAGUGUCGCAGCGAAAGCGUUAAACACACCGCCUGGGGAGUACGACCGCAAGGUUAAAACUCAAAUGAAUUGACGGGGACCCGCACAAGUAGUGGAGCAUGUGGUUUAAUUCGAAGAUACGCGCAGAACCUUACCAACACUUGACAUGUUCGUCGCGACUCUAAGAGAU
rnacentral:rRNA from 1 species